AAGUAGCAAAAUGCUUGCCUCAAAUAGCAGGAUUUGAAGGAGUCAAGAGUGAGAAAGUAGCAAAAUGCUUGCCUCAAAUAGCAGGAUUUUGCUUCAAUUGAAACUCUGCAAUUUAAUGAGAAUUCAACAUUCAAACCCGAGGACCCAUAUUUUCUGUAUGUACCAGCUUUUUCUGUUUCUAUAUCACUUGAGUUGCUGGACUCCUUUUAAAUAUCAAAACAAACCCUCAGCAAGCUUUGCAAAUUAUCAUACAUCUGCGAUAAACAUUGUUUACUUUA